CCUGUGAGUUUGACAAACCUGCACUAAUGCAUAUCCCAAAAGCAAUGUGAUUUGGUUUUAUGCGUGUGUUUUGGAGCAAAUGUCUUUCAGUUUUCCUAGUAGAAAAAUUUUGGCAAGUUUUUUGGCACCAACUUUAUGAAACCCAAAGCGAAGGUUUGCAGAUGAAACUAUCAUUUAUUUGCAUUUCUUUUGACAGCCAGAGUUAAUGAAAACCAAAUGAAGUGAAAGUUCGAAGCCCGAGACCUCCAGAACCAAUUACAGCAGAAGCUUUCCAGAAGGGGCAGCAUUCUCCCCCCAGGUAAAAAUGCUGGGAAAAGGUUUCAAGGAAGUUUAACUCCAAUUACCUUCAUGGUAGUAAGCCAGUUAAACGUCUCUGCAAAUCUUUACUGAGGGUUUAAAUUAUUCCCAUGUCAAAUUAUCUGGAUUAUUCUAAUCUGCUCAGUUUGUCUUGGUUUCAGUGAAAUAAUCCAAACAUGACUGGAGUCGUCGUGAGAGAUAUUUGAACUCAGCAACUGACCGAUUUUUCUGCAGUCCGCGUACCUGAACUCCUUCCAGGCCAUUAUCAGCGUCUGUGCAGCUUCACAGGCUCAAUCCCUUAAUUACACACUGUUAACUAAAUUUGUUUCACAUGGUGUUUUCCUGCUAAAUCGAGGGAGGAAUCACCGCCACCGGGCCUCAGAGCAGAUUCUCUCGUGCUUCCCUGAAAGUCAGAAUGCCCGGCUUUACCUGACGAGUUUGUUUUGAUGGCGAUCCAGCUUCAUGCACACAGUGUUCCCACAGUUCUUAAAGAACUUCAGACCUUCUUGGGAAACGCUCACAAAUUUAAUGUGCAAUCUAAUCUAAGGAUUUACACCUCCAACCACAAAGGAUUCUUCAGCGCAGGCGGACGCUGCAGCAGCGACUGGGAACACAGUUGUUAUUUUCUGCUUUCUUUUGCACGUUCUCAUGUGUUCCUGGCGAACUGCAGAAAUGUGCCAUCAGCACGACAAAUAUAAGUUCUAGGCGGGGGGGCGCAGUUUGACACGGCCUCAUUUAUACUUUAGAUGUCAACCAAAGCAGAGAUGCUUCAUUUUAGUCUGCAAAAACAGGCUUCCUAGAAAUAGGACAGAAAUUCUUAU